UAUUUCGAUAAAAUCCAAUUAUUUACACUCUUUUCGGUGAGUGUUUACAACGGCAAUUCUUAACCGUGUUACUUGGUUCCAAAUUGUACAAUUUAUUUAUAACACUUAAAUUUACACAGACUCCACUAUAUAGAGAUGUCAAAUACUUCAAGCUGUUCAGUUUGUCCUAUUUGUAGAAUCUGUAUGAGUGAUAUAUCGGAACAUUUGAUCCAGUCGCCUUGUCUAUGUAAAGGCACGAUGGGCCAUGUCCACAGAAAAUGCUUGGACAUCUGGAUGGAGAGAAAGAAGAGUUAUCACUGUGAAAUCUGUUCCUAUCCACUACGCUGUUCUACCCAAUCAUACAGUCUCUACAUCUUCUAUUACGUUGUCUAUCAACUGAUCAGGUUCACAAAAAUUACCCUCUAUGUGGCCCAGGAAAUUAGUAUAUUCACCGCGUGCUAUCUAAACGUCUUGCUUAUGUAUUACUUGUUUGAAACCUAUGUCCUACAAAUGCAAAGUUUUGAAAUUUUUA